rnacentral:rRNA from 1 species
CCUACGGGUGGCUGCAGUGGGGAAUCUUGGACAAUGGGCGAAAGCCUGAUCCAGCAAUGCCGCGUGCAGGAUGAAGGCCUACGGGUUGUAAACUGCUUUUGUACGGAACGCAAAAGCUUCUCCUAAUACGAGAGGCACAUAACGGUACCGUAAGAAUAAGCACCGGCUAACUACGUGCCAGCAGCCGCGGUAAUACGUAGGUGGCAAGCGUUGGCCGGAAUUACUGGGUGUAAAGGGAGCGCAGGCGGGGAGCCAAGUCAGGAGUGAAAACCACGGGCUUAACUUGGGGACUGCAGUGGAAACUGGCUUUCUAGAGUGAAGGAGAGGCAGGCGGAAUUCCGAGUGUAGCGGUGAAAUGCGUAGAUAUUAGGAGGAACACCAGUGGCGAAGGCGGCUUACUGGACUGUAACUGACGCUGAGGCUCGAAAGCGUGGGGAGCAAACAGGAUUAGAUACCCGGGUAGUC